AUUGAACGCUGGCGGCAUGCCUUACACAUGCAAGUCGAACGGCAGCACGGGGGCAACCCUGGUGGCGAGUGGCGAACGGGUGAGUAAUGCAUCGGAACGUGCCCAGUAGUGGGGGAUAACUAGUCGAAAGAUUAGCUAAUACCGCAUACGACCUAUGGGUGAAAGCGGGGGAGUUCGCAAGAACCUCGCGCUAUCGGAGCGGCCGAUGUCUGAUUAGCUAGUUGGCGGGGUAAAGGCCCACCAAGGCUUCGAUCAGUAGCUGGUCUGAGAGGACGACCAGCCACACUGGGACUGAGACACGGCCCAGACUCCUACGGGAGGCAGCAGUGGGGAAUUUUGGACAAUGGGCGCAAGCCUGAUCCAGCCAUGCCGCGUGCGGGAAGAA
rnacentral:rRNA from 1 species